rnacentral:lncRNA from 1 species
UACCUAUGGCUUCCUUUUUAUAAAGCACGUAGGAUUUGAAAAUUGCAAUCUGGCUUACGUAGAUUGCAAUUUUCUUAUACCAGGUCCUCCUCUUUCGGUUCACCAGAUAGGGCUGUAUGCAUUUGUCAGCCAAAUCUACUCCCCCCAUAAACUUGCUGUAGUCUACAACGCACUUCGGCUUCUCCAGCUGCUCAGUUCCACCUUUCCCAGACACUGGAACUGAAGUUUCAUUGUGCAUUGUAGACAA